UUUCUUUCCAACCAAAAACCUGUUGGGAGAGCCUCUUUCACAUUCAAUGCCACCCUAUCUCUUAAAAAGUUUCUAACUAGAAUGUUGUCUCUUAUUGGAUCCUCUACCUCUUUCAUGAUGCCCAUCAUAUCACCGAUAUUUGUUGGUGUUUCUUUUUUAAUGAACUCCAAAGGUCUAAUAACUUGGAUUUAGGAGAAAUCUGAACUUGAAUACGAUUAUGAAAAGGUUCGGUUACAAAAGGGUUUGGUUAAGAAGAAGAAAGAUUUGGUGAUUUGUGAUUAUGUCUCUCCCUAUUGGAGCAAUUUCAAGUUCUCUCCUGAUGAGAGAAAAUUUUUCUCCCUGUUGGAGCUUGUGCAAGUUGUAACAUCAUAGUCUAUCGAUAUUCAUUGCUUUGUAUGACCCUUGUUACAGGCCCAGUUGUCUUCAUAUGUCUAAGGUAUUAAUGUAACAUCUCAAAACAAUACAUAUAAUAAUUUUCAAUAAUCUUUGGCAUAGUUUAUGGUUUAUCAAAUUCCUGUCCUGCCCCCGAAAUAUAUUGCUUUGGCGCACAAUGGUAAAUUCUAAGUGAGCCCAAACCUAAGAUUUCUUCCGAUUAUCGCAGGAAAGAAUGUUAAUCAAACAAAUUUAAAAAAUAACAUGAUGCAUUUCAUUGACAAAAGAAAAAAAUACAUUUUGUUUUUUUUUUUUAAGACUAGCUACUCAAUAUUCACAUCGUAUUUUUACACUAAGAAAGAUUACACUGUGAAAUUCUUUUUUUGGCACUUUAAUGCACAGAUAAUUUUUUUCCUGUCGUAAAAAAAAAAAUUAUAUAAUUAAUGACUGAAAACCCCCAAACUAAAAGAAAAAAAAAAUUAAAAAAAUAACCAAUGCAAUAUAAUUGUUAGUACCAAGCAGCUACUUUACAAUUUUUUUGUUGAGCCCAUCUAUAGAAGAAAAAAAAAA